CCCCUUUUUUAUUGUCUCUCAAGGAAGUUCUCGUCGACUGCUUUCCUUCAAACCUUGUUUGAAAUACAUGUCAUAGAAGUAAAGAAGCACUCCGGUGGUAUAUUUAUUCUAAAGCCGCAUUAUACGAUUCAGCAAUAUUCCCGGUUGACGAGUCGGAACAUUCCCGGGCGCGGUACCUGGACGACCUCGGACGUCUGCACGUUAGCCUGGGCCGGUAUGACGGUGACCUGCUGUCCGGACGGCGUGCUCGUUAUUAUUGUCUGAGUGGGCUGUUGCUGUUGGACCGUUGCAGUCUCCGCUUGCAUCGGAUUCGAUACCGCCUUUCCGUGCAGCGUUUAAUUUGACAAUAUUCAAUCUUUCGUUAGAAUAAUACAUUAAUAAAAAUGAAUUGGAAUGUUAGUGUAUAAAUAAAACGUUUAUAAUUGAAAAAUAAAUAAAUAAACCAAAAUAAUGCAUGCUGUUAAGUUUAAGACUACCAGAGACCUAUGUUUAAUGGUUUUCACAUCUAUUAGUAACAGUAGGCAGAGCGAAUUGAUAAAUAUUAAUUAUAAUGAUGUCGCUUAUCAACUCUUUGCCACUAUUUAUGUGCAUCUCUACGAGUACCUUCAAUAAUAAUUAGUAUUAGGUUUUAGUCUUAGGCUAAUAUUUAGCUCUUUUAAUACUUUAAAUUUUAUUGAGGGUAUUCGCAUCUCGAUAGAAAUUUACUUUAAUUAUCUGACUUUAACCUAGGAAAUAUCACACUUUUUGCCACUAUUUAUGUGCAUCUCUGCGAAUACCUUCAAUAAUAAUUAGUAUUAGGUUUUAGUCUUAGACUAACAUUUAGCUCUUUCAAUUUUUUCAAUUUUAAGAAGCGUGUUCGCAUCUCGAUAGAUCUUUAUUUUAAUUAUCUGACUUAACCUAGGAAAAUAUAGCUUGUGACAGACAAAAACCAUAUAAAACCAUCAAACAUUUGGUCAUUUUUUAAAUGUACCUCACCGCGAGAAUUCACUGAGCUUACUUUACUGCAGUAAGAGUAUAAGCACUACUUUAAAAUCCUUUAGUUAAAUCAUCAGAUGAUCGCGGAUAACAAUCACCCUGGAUUGUUACAGCAUCUGAUUCGAAGACAGCCGGGGCGGAACUUACAGCAUGACAAAGUGAAAUCGUAAAAUAAUAAUGGAACUUCUUUCAUUGUUUUGUAUAAAAAAUUGUACAAAUACAAAACGUAUGUUCGCAAAGAGAUCGCUUUUACAAAAAAGUUAGGUUAAUAUCUAAAAAGGAAGAUGCCCCAAAAAUUUCUAUUGCGCAAUGCCUAUCAAAAAAAGGGGCAAAUAAAUAAACCGUCUUCUCCAUAAUAUCCGAAUAGGGUAUUAUAAAAGCCCAAUAUUACUCGCAGUGAGAACAUUUUGUAUAUUAUCGAAGCGGUAACCACUGCCUUAGCAUAAAUUGAAAACAAUUCGGAUUUCCUUAUCAAAAUACUGCUUUAACCCUUGGAUAUCUUUCAGCCCUCAAUGUAAAGCGUGCUAAGCUCGGGGGUUAAUCAAUAAACUUAAAGAUUUAUCUAUCAUUUUAUUAUCAAAAGUUUAACGUGAUUUAACUGCAAAAAUAAAAUCAGUUUAGAAGGUAGCAGCAAAAAUGCGGAUAAGCGCCCGAAGGAUCGUUUAUGAACUUCGAGUUUAGUGUGCUUUACAUUGCGGGGUCCAGAAAUAUACAAAAUAAUAUUAAAGUGAUACUUGGAUUAGUCAAUAAACAUUAUAAUAUUUUCCCGUUAUGUUACAGCGGUGACCGUUUCGAGUUUCGUGAGCUGAUCCCUUGCAGCCCGCGCAUACCUAUUGCGGCUUAGGUACGUCAAUUACCUGCAGUGUUAUCGUGGUAGGUGUGGAGGCCGAACUCACGGCCGCCUGUGUGCCAGCCCCUUGCUGUACCGAAACCAAACCCAGCAUUUUAUAUACAGCACGUAUGUUCCAAUAAUACACUUUUAAAACUCUUAAUGCGGACGUAAUUCAAUAUACAUUACUCAUUAACGUAAUAAUUGUUAAAAUAGUACGUAUAUAAAAAAAUAUAUAAUGAAAAA